rnacentral:rRNA from 1 species
CGUGGAGACAGGUGGUGCAUGGCUGUCGUCAGCUCGUGUCGUGAGAUGUUGGGUUAAGUCCCGCAACGAGCGCAACCCUCACCCCUUGUUGCCACCGGGUUAUGCCGAGCACCCUAGGGGAACUGCCAGCGUCAAGCUGGAGGAAGGCGGGGAUGACGUCAAGUCAUCAUGCCCCUUACGCCCUGGGCGACACACGUGCUACAAUGGCUGGUACAAAGGGAUGCAAGACCGCGAGGUGGAGCUAAUCCCAAAAAACCGGUCUAAGUUCAGAUUGCAGUCUGCAACUCGACUGCAUGAAGGAGGAAUCGCUAGUAAUCGCGCAUCAGCACGGCGCGGUGAAUACGUUCCCGGGCCUUGUACACACCGCCCGUCACACCACGAAAGCCGGCUGUACUCGAAGUCGCUGAG